rnacentral:rRNA from 1 species
GACGAACGCUGGCGGCGUGCUUAACACAUGCAAGUCGAACGGAAAGGCCCUGCUUUUGUGGGGUGCUCGAGUGGCGAACGGGUGAGUAACACGUGAGUAACCUGCCCUUGACUUUGGGAUAACUUCAGGAAACUGGGGCUCAUACCGGAUAGGAGCUCCUGCUGCAUGGUGGGGGUUGGUAAGUUUCGGCGGUUGGGGAUGGACUCGCGGCUUAUCAGCUUGUUGGUGGGGUAGUGGCUUACCAAGGCUUUGACGGGUAGCCGGCCUGAGAGGGUGACCGGCCACAUGGGGACUGAGAUACGGCCCAGACUCCUACGGGAGGCAGCAGUGGGGAAUAUUGCACAAUGGGCGGAAGCCUGAUGCAGCAACGCCGCGUGCGGGAUGACGGCCUUCGGGUUGUAAACCGCUUUCGCCUGUGACGAAGCGUGAGUGACGGUAAUGGGUAAAGAAGCACCGGCUAACUACGUG